AGGACGAACGCUGGCGGCGUGCUUAACACAUGCAAGUCGAGCGGAAAGGCCCUUCGGGGUACUCGAGCGGCGAACGGGUGAGUAACACGUGAGUAAUCUGCCCCUAGCUCUGGGAUAGCUCCGGGAAACCGGGAUUAAUACCGGAUAUGACCACUUUAGACAUCUUUUGUGGUGGAAAGAAUUUCGGCUAGGGAUGAGCUCGCGGCCUAUCAGCUUGUUGGUGGGGUAACGGCCUACCAAGGCGACGACGGGUA
rnacentral:rRNA from 1 species